rnacentral:rRNA from 1 species
UUAAGCGACUAAGCGUACACGGUGGAUGCCCUGGCAGUCAGAGGCGAUGAAGGACGUGCUAAUCUGCGAAAAGCGUCGGUAAGGUGAUAUGAACCGUUACAGCCGGCGAUGUCCGAAUGGGGAAACCCAGUGCAAUUCGUUGCACUAUCGUUAACUGAAUACAUAGGUUAACGAGGCGAACCGGGGGAACUGAAACAUCUAAGUACCCCGAGGAAAAGAAAUCAACCGAGAUUCCCCCAGUAGCGGCGAGCGAACGGGGAGCAGCCCGGAGUCUGAAUCAGUUUGUGUGUUAGUGGAAGCGUCUGGAAAGUCGCAGGGUACAGGGUGAUACUCCCGUACACUAAAACACACAGGCUGUGAACUCGAAGAGUAGGGCGGGACACGUGGUAUCCUGUCUGAAUAUGGGGGGACCAUCCUCCAAGGCUAAAUACUCCUGACUGACCGAUAGUGAACCAGUACCGUGAGGGAAAGGCGAAAAGAACCCCGGCGAGGGGAGUGAAAAAGAACCUGAAACCGUGUACGUACAAGCAGUAGGAGCCCACUAGUUGGGUGACUGCGUACCUUUUGUAUAAUGGGUCAGCGACUUAUAUUCUGUAGCAAGGUUAACCGUAUAGGGGAGCCGCAGGGAAACCGAGUCUUAACUGGGCGUUAAGUUGCAGGGUAUAGACCCGAAACCCGGUGAUCUAGCCAUGGGCAGGUUGAAGGUUGGGUAACACUAACUGGAGGACCGAACCGACUAAUGUUGAAAAAUUAGCGGAUGACUUGUGGCUGGGGGUGAAAGGCCAAUCAAACCGGGAGAUAGCUGGUUCUCCCCGAAAGCUAUUUAGGUAGCGCCUCGUGAAUUCAUCUUCGGGGGUAGAGCACUGUUUCGGCUAGGGGGUCAUCCCGACUUACCAACCCGAUGCAAACUACGAAUACCGAAGAAUGUUAUCACGGGAGACACACGGCGGGUGCUAACGUCCGUCGUGAAGAGGGAAACAACCCAGACCGCCAGCUAAGGUCCCAAAGUCAUGGUUAAGUGGGAAACGAUGUGGGAAGGCCCAGACAGCCAGGAUGUUGGCUUAGAAGCAGCCAUCAUUUAAAGAAAGCGUAAUAGCUCACUGGUCGAGUCGGCCUGCGCGGAAGAUGUAACGGGGCUAAACCAUGCACCGAAGCUGCGGCAGCGACACUAUGUGUUGUUGGGUAGGGGAGCGUUCUGUAAGCCGUUGAAGGUGGCCUGUGAGGGUUGCUGGAGGUAUCAGAAGUGCGAAUGCUGACAUAAGUAACGAUAAUGCGGGUGAAAAACCCGCACGCCGGAAGACCAAGGGUUCCUGUCCAACGUUAAUCGGGGCAGGGUGAGUCGACCCCUAAGGCGAGGCCGAAAGGCGUAGUCGAUGGGAAACAGGUUAAUAUUCCUGUACUUGGUGUUACUGCGAAGGGGGGACGGAGAAGGCUAUGUUGGCCGGGCGACGGUUGUCCCGGUUUAAGCAUGUAGGCGGAUGUUCCAGGUAAAUCCGGAACGUCACUAACGCUGAGGUGUGAUGACGAGGCACUACGGUGCUGAAGUGACAAAUGCCCUGCUUCCAGGAAAAGCCUCUAAGCAUCAGGUAACAUCAAAUCGUACCCCAAACCGACACAGGUGGUCAGGUAGAGAAUACCAAGGCGCUUGAGAGAACUCGGGUGAAGGAACUAGGCAAAAUGGUGCCGUAACUUCGGGAGAAGGCACGCUGAUGGUAGGUGAAGUGACUUGCUCAUGGAGCUGAAAUCAGUCGAAGAUACCAGCUGGCUGCAACUGUUUAUUAAAAACACAGCACUGUGCAAACACGAAAGUGGACGUAUACGGUGUGACGCCUGCCCGGUGCCGGAAGGUUAAUUGAUGGGGUUAUCCUCACGGAGAAGCUCUUGAUCGAAGCCCCGGUAAACGGCGGCCGUAACUAUAACGGUCCUAAGGUAGCGAAAUUCCUUGUCGGGUAAGUUCCGACCUGCACGAAUGGCGUAAUGAUGGCCAGGCUGUCUCCACCCGAGACUCAGUGAAAUUGAACUCGCUGUGAAGAUGCAGUGUACCCGCGGCAAGACGGAAAGACCCCGUGAACCUUUACUAUAGCUUGACACUGAACACUGGUCCUUGAUGUGUAGGAUAGGUGGGAGGCUUUGAAGUGUGGACGCCAGUCUGCAUGGAGCCAUCCUUGAAAUACCACCCUUUAAUGGCUGGUGUUCUAACGUGGGCCCGUGAUCCGGGUUGCGGACAGUGUCUGGUGGGUAGUUUGACUGGGGCGGUCUCCUCCUAAAGAGUAACGGAGGAGCACGAAGGUCAGCUAAUCCUGGUCGGACAUCAGGAGGUUAGUGCAAUGGCAUAAGCUGGCUUGACUGCGAGCGUGACGGCGCGAGCAGGUGCGAAAGCAGGUCAUAGUGAUCCGGUGGUUCUGAAUGGAAGGGCCAUCGCUCAACGGAUAAAAGGUACUCCGGGGAUAACAGGCUGAUACCGCCCAAGAGUUCAUAUCGACGGCGGUGUUUGGCACCUCGAUGUCGGCUCAUCACAUCCUGGGGCUGAAGUAGGUCCCAAGGGUAUGGCUGUUCGCCAUUUAAAGUGGUACGCGAGCUGGGUUUAGAACGUCGUGAGACAGUUCGGUCCCUAUCUGCCGUGGGCGCUGGAGAAUUGAGGGGGGCUGCUCCUAGUACGAGAGGACCGGAGUGGACGCAUCACUGGUGUUCGGGUUGUCAUGCCAAUGGCAUUGCCCGGUAGCUAAAUGCGGAAGAGAUAAGUGCUGAAAGCAUCUAAGCACGAAACUUGCCCCGAGAUGAGUUCUCCCUGACCCUUUAAGGGUCCUGAAGGAACGUUGAAGACGACGACGUUGAUAGGCCGGGUGUGUAAGCGCAGCGAUGCGUUGAGCUAACCGGUACUAAUGAACCGUGAGGCUUAACCUU